UGUGCGCGGGGCGGGGGUGCAGGCAGGGCGGCCUCGCCCCCCACCCCGCCGCCUCCGGCCUCCAACCUCUGUGCCACCUCGGCCGGGACGCGGGGGUACCCGGACCUACUCAGUGGGUAGGACACCGAGAGAACCGGCCGGCCACGCCCCCCGCGCCACUCCCUGGAGGCAGCCGACACCGAGGAAUGUAAAGGUUCAAUAACUUGCCUCAGUGGCUGAGUUGGGGAUUGGAACCAGCAGACCUGGCUUCCACAGUGGCCGACACCGCUCGGGCUCUCUGCAUCUCCUGAGUAGCAGAAAACUACCCCACUGCUGGCGCUGUCACUCUCAUUUUCUGGAAGAGACAAAGGAGACUCAGACAAAAGGAUCUGGAAACUACAGCCAGGUCUCCGACCCCAAGCCCACGCUGCCAUCAGCUCACGCUCGGAUCCUGAAAGAUGACGAUGGGAAUUAUGCUGAGCUCAACAGCUGCGUGAUUCCAUUUAUAGAACUUUAUCAAAACGACAGGAUUAUAGAAAUAGAGGACCGAUGCGUGGCACCAGGAGUUGGGGAGGGGGAGGGUGGUGGCCGUGUCUAUCAAGGGGUAGCGGGGUGGCCCUGGGUUCUACCCCGAGGGUACCCUGUGGCGGUGCACACGCCAGUCUACACGAGUGAUAAAAUCGCACAGAACUAAGUUCGCGCGCACAUGCGCCCGCGUGAGCUCAGGUAGAGCCACGGAAAUCUGAUUGAGGCUCACCAACACCUGCUGAAAUCCGUGCUAGCUUCUUCGGGGAACUCGCCUCAUUCUUUUGAAAGGCUGAUGACAUCCCACGAUGUGCGCCUUCUCCCUGCCCUUGCCGGCUAAGAACAAUGGGCAGGAAAUAUCCUGAUGCUGACAGAUUCCCUUCCCGAGAUUCUGUGACACCUGACCCUUCUGCCUCGAUGCACCCAGUUCCCACCAUCAACCGAUGCCAGGGCAUGCUGUAAACGUUGCCAUCCUGAUGAGUGCGAAGUGAUCUGUCCUUGUGACUUUGGUUUGCAUUUCCCUGCCUACUGGGGAAUCGGGGAGAACUUGAAUAUAUGUUUGACUUUAGAGGUGC